UACGUAGGGGGGCAAGCGUUUGUCCGGAAUCAUUGGGCGAAAGCGCGUGUAGGCGCCUUGUAAGUCCGUUCUGAAAGCCCGGGGCUCAACCCCGGGAGGCGGAUGGAUACUGCGAAGGCUCGAGUCCGGAGAGGCGAGUGGAAUUCCCGGUGUAGCGGUGAAAUGCGCAGAUAUCGGGAGGAACACCAAUGGCGAAGGCGAGCUCGCUGGGACG
rnacentral:rRNA from 1 species